AUGAAAUGCUCACAAAGCAUGCUGUGGAAAGCAGUAAAAUCUCAGCUCUUGGGAAAUAAAAUUCAUCCUGGUGCUGUGGAUGACCAAGACUCUGCAAGAAUUGUAAUUUCCUUCUUGAAUUCCAUCUUGAAGAUGGAAAGUAAAUGGACUAACAACACCUUUGCGUUAAGUGAAUUCUUCCUUUACAUUUUUUUUUCUUUUCUUCCUGAUCAUAUUUUUCUGAGAUUGCUUUCUUCCUGCCCUAGAAACAACUUCAAGAUUACUGUUGGCAAGAAAACAUUCUACACACGGCUUUAGAGCUUAAACAAAAGAUCUCUCAGGUGCUGGAUUACAUGUUUGAAAAUGAUACCGCCCCACUUCUGAGCUUCCACCUGUGCAGCUUAGAGCCAGCACAAAGUGAACUCUUAGUAGGAAGAGAACAAAACCAAAACUAAUGACUGCUCAGCAAACCUUCAAAUGAAACUGUCCAAACAAAUGAUGACUUAGUCCCAAACUGAAUUAACUGGAGAGAACCUAAACAAUGACUUCCAUCAGCUCUGCUAGGAGAGCAUCACAGCACAGAGGGACUCAACCAGUGGCUGACACCUGGCAACUUCCAGAGCCAUAGAAGCUAUUUCCAAAGAUUAAAAAAACAACCCAAAACACAGCUGAACAUAGCACAACAAUUUUCUAUACAUUCUUGAAUUACACUACAUUUUCAUAAGAUUUCUGGAAUUGCAACCAACUAUUAGUGGGUUCUUUGGUUUGUUUGUGUUUUUCUCUGUUUCUUUUAGGAGUGGAAAGGUCUAUCUACAGGAUUUUAAUAUUAGUAUUGAUAUGUUUCAUUGUCAAAUCUAUCUUAACUGGACCAAAGCAAAGAGCUAUGCUGGAAUAUGAAAAAAAAAAAAAAAAGAGUUAUUGUAAAGCUUAUACAUAUAAAAACAAAAGCAACUGUGUCAACAGAACUAUUGAGAAGCUAACAGUGACAAUAAUAAGAAUUGAUGGAUUAUUUCAAGAAUAUUUCACUAAUCAGGCCAGUGUUUUAAUUUUCAUCUAGUGGGAACUUGUGUUGGAUCAAUAACAGAUAUUACACUAUUUUUAACUCUCUUCUUCAUAUAUGGUCAAAAGAUAUUUCAAAGAAAAAACUACUCUUAAAAUAUAAAAAUGAAGUAUUUUUGGCAUUUCUGUUGUUUGGCAUUUCUAUUGUUCAGUUGUUGUUUAAAAAGUGAAAACGCAAUGGAGGAUUUUCAACUUUUCCAAGGGAAUUUCCUCAUUCUUUGGGUAAAACCUCUUCAAAAUCAGUUUAAAUUCAUUAUUAGUUUUUCUUGCCCCUUUAACUCUGAUUUCAACAAAUCUACUUUUACAUCUCUCGUGGUUAUUUUUUUUUACUCAGAGAGGACAGAUAGAGAAAAUUCUUACAGCUAAAUAAAUGGACUCAUUAUUUGUUUUUCUGUAUAUAU
rnacentral:lncRNA from 1 species